GACGAACGCUGGCGGCGUGCUUAACACAUGCAAGUCGAACGGAAAGGCCUCUUUCGGGGGGUACUCGAGUGGCGAACGGGUGAGUAACACGUGAGUAAACUGCCCUUUACUUUUGGAUAACUUCAGGAAACUGGGGCUAAUACCGGAUAGGAGCUCCUGCUGCAUGGUGGGGGUUGGAGAGUUUCGGCGGUUGGGGGUGGACUCGCGGCUUAUCAGCUUGUUGGUGGGGUAGUGGCUUACCAAGGCGUUGACGGGUAGCCGGCCUGAGAGGGUGAGCGGCCACAUUGGGACUGAGAUACGGCCCAGACGCCUACGGGGGGCAGCAGGGGGGAAUAUUGCUCAAUGGGUGGAAGCCGGAUGCAGCAACGCCGUGGGCGGGAUGACGGCCUUCGGGUUGUAAACCGCUUUCGCUCAUGACGAAGCUUUGUGUGACGGUAGUGGGUAAAGAAGCACCGGCUAACUACGUG
rnacentral:rRNA from 1 species